AUUUAUUAUUUUUUUAAUAUGAAAAUUUGGAGCAACUAAUUUAUAAUAUACUCAAUAAAUCAACAAUUGUGAAAUAUUUUAAUUCAUUCAGAAUUUGGAAUAUAACUUAAAAUUACCAUCUGUAUUCUUAUUUUUGAACUCAAUUUUUUUUUUAAUUUUCAUAAAUUUAAAAAAUAUAUCUAUUCAUAAGUACAGUGUGUCUGAAAAGUCCUGCACACAGGCAAAAUACUAAAAUUUACUGUCUUUUGUUCUUUAGUUGCACUUAAUGAUGGUAACAUAGGAAAAACACCAUGCACUGACAGAGAUUCUUGGUGGUGUUUAUUCACUUGGAAUCAAUGUUUAUUGAAGUCUAUGCCAGGCCAAAGGAAUUAAUCUGGCAAACUAUCCUGAAACUAAAAAUACCCUCAUUUAUCAUUUAUGAUAUCCUGAAGAUGGAAAGAUUCCACUCAUUCAAGCUACAUCUUCUGCAUCGUGUAUCAGAUGAUGAUAUGACUGCAGGGUGGAAAUAUGUGCUUUAUUUUUGGACAGGAUGGAUAAGAAGGCAUCUUUCCUAUCUUGUAUGCUGUUUUUUGAUGAGGCCAAUUUUCACAUGAAUGGAAGUUGAUAAACAGAAUCUAUGCUAUUGGUCUCAGGAGAACCCCCAUUGAUAUGAUUCUGGCGGACAGCAAGGUCCAAGCAUAUGGUAUGGUGUGGCCUCUAGAAGGAUUGUAUUAUAGAGCCAUAUUUUUUGAAGAAUGCCAUGCCAUAGCUCCAGAUUAUAUUCCUAUGUGCUCAGCAACUAGCAAUUCCACAUACAGACCCAUGUGGACUCAAUGGCAAACAUAUUGAACAAAUAUUGUGAUUUGGCCUAAGGUGCAAGACUUUUUGGAUAUC
rnacentral:lncRNA from 1 species